CCCAUUUCCAACCGGAAUUUGAAAUCCCGCGUCAUUUCUGAACUGGCCAAUCAGAAAUCGGGACAAUAGUCAGCCAUUGCUGUUUACCUGUGUCGCAUGGUAUCGGAGUGAUGUAAUUUACUUUGUCUGCCCGUGUCGGGGUGCUUAUUAGACAGUGCGAAGCAUGUUUUGAUAGUAAUUAAUCGGGAAGACGGAUUUCAAAUUGACAUAUCCUUUACACAAACGUGAAUGGCAAUGAUAAUAGUGUCACCACCAAACAAUCGGACAUUCCUGAUUUUUGCCUCUCGCUGACAGCAUCCAAAAUAUGCAAUAUUAAAGAUGUCAUGGGUGCAAAGGUUUUGUUCGCAAACUUCAUAGCAGGGCAGAUCACUCCUUUUCUGGUUGCAAUGCAGAUUGUUCCACCUGCAGACUCUGCAAGCCCAUGAAAUUGUUUACAGACAAGCAAGAUCGCCUUUGUAGUAGUACCUAAAUGCAUGUGCUUUAAUUUAAAUUUUGAUAUAUAGACCAGCCAAUGUAUAUAUGGUGUAAAAGGAUGUAACUUUAAGUAUUAUUUGAUAAUAUGUAUGUGAUUUGUUGGAGAGGAUUUUUUGCUGAAUAGAUGAUUUUAAUAAAAUACUUAUCUAUAUCUUUCAAAGUUUUUUUUUUUUAUAUAGUUUUGUUAAAGUUAAUGGUCAAACACACUUGAUGUAUGAUACAUGUAUAAUGAUUAGAUUGAUAUUUUAUUUGAAAAGACAAAUAUUUAUUUUCAUGGUAAAAUGUCGUGAAUUUUGAGCGUUGAAAAAAGGUCGUCGCGUGCAAAAUCCCCCAUGGCGAUUUUCAAAAGUUGGCAUGUAUGAACACUUAUAAAGAUUCUACAUGUACAUUUAGAACUAAUGAUAAAGACUGUACAUGUUUUAUACAAAUUUAUUCAAUAUUUCUGUUCAUCAAUGUACAUUGAUAACCUACACUAAAUUGACAACAGAAUUAGUCUCUGUCAUACCUAUUUGGAGAUGGACAAACAUAUGUCUUCCCAUGUGCUUUAACAACGUUAUUUACAUUUGUUAUACAUGAUAUAGGAAUCAUAUCCAAUUUUUCAGGACAUUCCAUUUGCCAUACACAACCAACAGACUGUAUCUUUUUAAAAUAAUUCACUAAUGCUAAGUUAACAGGUUCCUGAUUUCUUUUUAAGCAUUGAUAAAAUGUUAUAACUGUACAAAAUUGCAUUUCUCCACUUAUGGCACAAGUUACAAUAUUUUGCUGUCUUUUUUGUAGCCUUUCAUACUC